GAGAAAAAAAAAUGAAAAAGAAUGACUCUCUCUCUCUCGUUCAAUCUCCCCGACGAGAGGAACUCACCUAUGGUCUUGAUUUGCGAGGUAGAAGCCUGAAACAAGAAAGUGACUGGAACUCAAGCGAUGUCGCGCGAUGAGGUUUUCGGUGAUCCACACCGUUGCCGGUGGUUGCAGCAUGAAGGAGGGGUGCCGAUCGUUUCAUCUCCUCUGUGUGAUUUUUUCCCCUCUGUUAAACUGAGUUUCCGAUGGAGAAUGGUGAAGCCACCAUGAUCGACAGUCCCUUUAGCGACUUCUAGGGUUAUUUCUGGUCUCUAGGGUACCCAUCUCGUUAAUCAGACCUGAGAUCGGAGAUCUCCUCAUGAAACGGAGCAAAUUGAUGUAAAAAGUUGGCAUUUCUGGCUGUUUGGAUUUCCCGGCCACCGUGGACGACGGCGCCGGCUACUGUUUGGUGACCGGCUGACUAGUCACUGGUGAGACCUCCAGGAAGCAGAAAUACCUGCUUCUCACACUAAACCAGAUUUUGAAACCCGAAAUUACAGAGGGUAUAUAUUUAUGAUUUAGCAAUUUAAAUUUAGUUUGUCAUAUUUCAGUAUAAUUGCAAGUUGGAAAAUUAUGUUUAUUGAAUUAAAUUAGUUUUGAUUAAGAUAACUAAGUUAAUUGUUUGAACUUGAUAAUACGAUUAAUCAUUAGUGAAAUUGACAAAUUAUUAGAAUUAGCAAAACUAAAGAUAACAAGAAUUUGUUAACUAUACGGGUUUGAAAUUAAGACAGUUUAAUGAGUUAAUAAAAAAUUGGAAUAGAUAUUAAUUUGCUUAAUUGUGAAAUAUCAUAAACGGCGGAUGGGUGUAUUUAUUGUAAUAUAUGUGAAAUUCAGACAAAUCAAAUAAUAAAGAAAAUGCCGCUGGAUUUUUGAUAGAAAAAGAGAUUUAUCAAAAAAUUAAGGUAAUAGAUAAAAUAACAAACUGUAUUAUUAAAUAAGGAAGUAAAUUUGUGAAGGAAUAAAUUAGUCAAGUAAAUGCAAAAUUUGAUUGUAUUUGAUUAGUACUUGGAAAUGAAAUUUUAAGUGAUGUUUUGAGAAUGAGUAAAGUAAAGAAAUUUAAGUAUUUUUAUCUCAAAAUCUUAUCAUAUUUAUUUGGUAAAAUAAAUAAGUAUAUGUAAAUAUAUUGAAACAAUCCGAAUUUUUAUUUUCAAAACAUUUGAUUUAAAUUUUAAUAGACUGACACCCUAGAAAAUUUAUCUAACCAAUUAAAUGUAAAUAUAUGAUUUGUAUAGUUGAUAACCCGAACAAAACCGAUUGAAAAAUCAAAAAUCAAUUGAAAACCAUGAUUUGAACCGAACCAAACCUGAAUCGAACCAAACCAGCCUAAACCAUCCAAACCCUUCUGGAAUUUUCCCUCUUUCUUCCUAUUUCUAGUGCUCACCUCACCCCUCUUCCCCGUUUUGCGCAUUCCCAGUUGCCGGCGAUCCUCUCGCGCCACUAGCACAUUGCCGCCCUCUCCCUCUCUCCUUCUCUUCCUCUUGCUCUCUUUCUCCGUCCCUAUUUCAGGUGAGCGCAAAGACCAUAGCAGCCGCGACUCUGCUAGCUUGAAGUCGUCGCGACUCCGGCGAACUCAACGACCCUCUCUGUCGCGCUGAUGAGCCUCCAUCGCGCCACUGCCGUUGCAACUCUCUUUCUUUCCCUUUCGCGAUCGCUCUCAGGGAACUCAGUAGCGCCAACAGCCCUGCUUCGAUCGCCGCUCUCUCCUGCUCGCGAUUCCGGUGAACGGCGCGACUUCCCUCCUGGAUCAAUGGGAACGCCAGAGACAAUUUUGUCUCGGUACGUUCGGCGCUCACUUUGACUUUCCGACGAACCUUGCGUGGUCAGGCGACUCCGGCGAGCACCACUGUCUCCUGCCAACGGAUUUCCGACAACGCUGAGUUUUGGAUUGUCCAGGCCCAUCUAUUGCUCCACAAGGUCAGAAUUAGAGUUAGAGCUUCAGCUUCCACCACUGUAAUAGGAAGCUACUGAAUCGACCGAAACUCUGCAAUUUUCCACAAAAGUAAAUUUAUAACUUUUUUUUGUUAUUAUUAUCAUUAACUAAUUUGUGUUAUUAAAUAUGUACACUAUUCUACUCUCAAAUUAUUGUUGAACUUCGCAGUCACAGGGUAUUGUGUAUUUUUUUUUAUUUGGAUGAUCUUGUUGUUUAAUUAAGCGCAUGUGAACUGGCAGCCCAUAUUAUGAAUGUGACGUAAUGUGAUUAGGUCCCGAUUAAAUUGUAUUCAAGAUAA